AUGAACGAUCCAAGUCUUCAAAGCAAAGCCUCGGAGAAAGUGUCUGAGGCGAAGGACGGAGCUGCAGGUCCGGUCAGGGACGACUUCCACCAACCUGCGAGGAAAUGGUCUGACAGUCAACUGAAGAAAAAAAUCAAACGAGCGGAGGCUAGAAAUCAACGUCUGAUCAGAGAGCAGAACCGACUACGGUUCGCCGUGACUGAAAAGGAGGCCGCGGUGAAGCGGCUGCGGAAGACGCUGAGGGACAAAAGCGUCAGGCCACCUGGUUACAACGGUGAAGACUCAUGCGAGCAGCGCAAACGGCAGCUGGAGAACAACAUUGACAAGAUGAGAAUGAAGGUCACCGGGGCGAAGGAACUCCAAAAGACCUACCAGCACAUCCAUGACCACCUGCAGCAGCUACUCCAGUUGAUCCAGGACACCUGUAGCAGUGUGCAGUCUUGUUUCUAA
ensembl:lncRNA